GCAGCCUGCUUACGGGUGACACUUGCUGCCCCCUCUUUCCCCUGGCAGGGUGACUGAUGGGCAGAUCUCUGAGCCUGGUGAGGGGCAGUGAGCUCCCCAGGGACCGCGCUGUGCCAUGCUCAGCAAUAAAGAGCUGCUGUGAGCACAGCGCUGGAGAUGUUUUGCUGUUUCGGUCGGUCUCAUGGUGGCCGUGGAGCCAGCCCGUAGCUGUACUUUGCUUUCUGUGUGCUUUCUUUCACAAGCUCUGAAAGUAGAAACUUGCAGAAACAGCUGGAGCUGCUGGGUGAGAAAAAAACCAUAUCAGGAACUGAUUUGAAUGGGAGUAACAAAAAGUUGCUGACCGGGAGGUCAGGGCUAAGGGAAGGAAGAGGCAGAGUGCCGGAGCGUGCGGCGGAGCGGGCUCAGUGCGCUGCCCUGGCUGCCCCAGUGUGGCUCUCACCAUAUAUAGCCAGCAGCUCAUGCUUUCUGCCAUGCUACCCUUUGAGACUUCAAAGAUCUCGCUCCUGAUGCAAAGCUGAGCUUCCAGUCUUCGUGGUGUUGCUGCAGCAUGCUCCAAAGGAGUUUAGAACAAAGCCAGAUGGAGCUUCGAAUGGGAGAAAAGCGUGAUUCCUGAACUGUCACCCAUGGCCCACCUUAAGGUCUGGUAAGGCCAGCUUGAUCGAAUAGAUGCACGGGGACCCUAGAGACAUUCAAAGAUUGAGCCAAAAUAUUCUGUGAGGACUGUGAUAGAAAUGGCUGGGGCAGAUUGUUCCUCCGUCAGCAGCUCUGCCUUAAAGAAAGCACUGCUGUUUUAAAUGAAGAGUGAGUAAGUGCCUUUGAAGGAUAUGGCAGGUCAGUGCAUUGGCUGAGGACCACCUUCGCCUUGUGCAGUGUGUUUCCACCUUGCAGAGUACAACAGCAACAAGCUGUAUUUAACCAGCACCUCCGUGCACCCCACGGAAACAGUCUCUGCUGGCUGCAGCCCCGAGUCGAGGCUGGAAGCAUCAUCGUGGUGCUGCGUGGUCAGGAGAAAGGGGCACGUGGGAUGUGAGAGGCAGGUGGAAAACCUCAUGCUGGAAGUGUGGGAUACGCAACUUUGCUGACUUGCUUGGAAGGUGCCCCACCUCGUUCUCCAUGUCACAGGUCUGCUGCUGGGUGGUAGUGAUGUGAGGAUUUCCUGCUGGCUUCAGGCUGCUCCGCAGCCUUACCUGACCUCUGCCUGGGCUACAAGCAAGCCUGAGCUCUGGAAACUCUCAGGUGCAGAAAGCUCGUGUUUGGAGAAAGCCCCCUCUACCAGGUCCAUUACUGGCUUCCUCAUCAGCGAGGGACCUUUGGCACAGCCACCUGGCAUGCCAGGCGUGGGCUCGUUAACUUAAUCUGCCACCCAGGCUGGCCGAAGGUUAUAGAAAGCUUCUGGAGAACACCAGACCUCAGCAGAGAGACGUGUCCUGUCCUGGGGCUGGGAGGUAAAAUCUCGCUCAGCCUCUUGUGGAUCACGGCACCCUCUGGAGCGGGAGCACCCUGGGGUGGCCCCCGCGCAGGGCUGGGGGGCUGCAGGUGGCACCGCCAGGGCUGGCUGCUGGCAUCGCUCAGAGCUGCUGCUGCCAAGUCCCCGCGCUGGCAGGGAGCAGGAGAGCGAGCUGCCGAGGGAGCCGCGCUGUUACGAGGUGACAGGAACAAGACCUCAAGCCACGGCCAGUAACGCGCAGUAUUACUUCAUAGAGCGCUUGUAGAAGACAUCCCCUUCCAUGGAAUUUGUGCUUGGCUGACGAAUUUGUGACGUCUUCGCACAAGGGCUCAUUGAAAGAUGCCCUCGAUCCAAGGUGCCACCAGUUCCUGGGAGAGCGUCCCGUCUGUGCUGCUCUCCGUGAACCCACCCUCAGGACACCGCGGCAUGAGAUGUAUUUUGGAGAUGAGCAAUGGACAGAAGUAGCUGCUGAUGCAAGUGGCUGAGAGGAGCGGGCACUUUAUUCUGCAGAGCAGUGACCAGAGCCCAGCUGAAAGCAGCGUGGCCGUGUUCGGGCUGCACAAGCAGGGCAGCACUGACUUUAACAAGAGGCAGCAUCGUGAGCAUGCUGAAACCAGCGCUGCUGGCACCGCUGCACCAAGCAGUGCCCAUCUUUCACAAGCCUCUGCAAAACAAGAGAAAUGUAAUACCCACCUCGUUACCAGCACCAGUUCCCAAACUUCUCAGUGAAGAGCUGAAAGAAAACUCACAUCCCUCCCUGGACAAAGCUUUGCUGCUCUUCUGCUGUCCGGCUGUGAGUUCGAGAGGUGCAUGCCGCUCGGGGAUAGCUCCCCAUGCCCACAAGGAGGUGGCUUCACACCACGCCUGAGGGACCUGCUGAGGCUGCCAGAUCCCCACCAGGCUGUUCUGGAACAUGUGGUGACAGCAGUUGGUGGCCAGAUGAGAGGGGGUCUGCAGAUAGCCAGUGCCAACAGGUGCCAAAGAGGUCUCUGCCCUGAGCAGCCAGAGCAGAAAGCCCCAGCUUGUGCUCCCUGAUGGUCCGUGCUGCAGCAUCUCUGGUAAGGAGCCCGGCGUGUGUGGGGCUGAGGGCUCAGUGCUGACAGUGCGUUGGGCCUGCUGAGCGAGACUGGGAGAUGGCUUUUCUCAAAAUCUGCAUUUAAUUGAUUGUAAGUGGGGUUUGUUUGUUUCUUUGUUUGUUUUGGCCGUGUGUUUGGGAGUUUUUGAUUUGUUCUGCCAUGCAAGAAGAACUAAGUCACACUGAUUUUUCUUUCUUUCUUUUUCUUUUCUUUUAUUUUUUUUUCAUUUUAUUUCUAUUUUCUCCAUUUAAAAUAGGUCCCUAGAUCACUUAAGACUUUGGCCAUUGUAUAGCUUUCUAUGGUGCCACAUGGCUACAGGCUCCAGGGCUAUGGUCAUUGAAAAAAUCCUCCUAAGGGAAUUCCUAAGGGAAUUUUCUGAAAGGAUGAGGUUUGCCAUAAGGUAUCUUAGUCGUGCUCAUGCAGGCAUAUUGUUACUACAGAAGAGAUUUCUCGGCAACUGUGGGCUCCUGGGCUUAUAUUUCAGCAUCAGUGAAAGAGGCUGUAAAGAGCAAGAGCUCUUCGGAAAGUCCCCCUUGGGUUCCUGAUAUGACAAAACUACCAUUUGACCUCAAGCCAAGUAUGUCUCAAGUAUGAGACCCUCUCUGUUUCUAAAGUGAUUUGAGACAUGCACGUUUCUGUAGAAAUGCAAGCCGGGGCUGCUGUAUGAUGCCCUGUAGCUCAGUGAGUCUGGAGGAACUGGUUCGCUGCCCAUAGCCAAAAAAGCAGUUCUUCAAAGCAGUGCCUGUCACAGCUUCCUUUGCUGUGGGCUCUUUAAUUUUGUGGUUAUGACCUGCAGUUUAUUUCUGUGGCAACGACUGUGUUGUUGUAAUAAUCACAUAAUCACUUCACUGCUAUUAGAAGAGGUUUAUCUGUGAGUAUCAUUUUAGAAACAACGGUCUGGGUCCAGAUCUUCAAAGACGCAUCCACAGACACCAAGCUGCAUUGAUGUCAGUGAAGCAAAACGAAUGCCCCCAACUGAAAUAGCAAGCAAACAAAAUUAAAGCUGAUGUGGGUUUCUUGGGCAUUGAGUCAGAAGGCAGCGAGCUGAGCACGCGGCUGUUUCUCCUCUUGCCUGCCGCAGCGGGACAGACCUACAGGGAGCCGAGGCCGUGGCCAGCACAAACGCUCUCAUCGGUGCUUCACUUCACUUUUUCACUUCACUGCCAGCGCCCGUCUCUGUUUUCCCUUCCUCAAGGACUUCCAUUACUCAUGGACUGUUUUCCUUCCCUCUGCUAAGUGAUGUACGAACUGUUUGUAUGCUCCAGGCUGGCUUCUGACGUCCGUCCCUUCUGUGUACGCGCAGAGCGAGGGCGCUCCCCGCAGCGCAGCGGGUCAGCGGGCUGCCAGGCCGCAGGCUGGGCCCAGGGGGAAGGCGAGGGCUUGCCACCAGCUCUCAGGGAUCAGAAUUUGUCCCAGCUCCUCCAAUUACUUACUAGUUUUGAACAUGUCAUAUCUCUUCACUGACGAGUUCAGGACGUAACAUGGGCUCCACUGGGAUGAAUGCCGAGUGCAAUCAGUGGGAGGCUAAGGGAGAAACAUCUUCCCUUGGUUCAAACUCCUGAACGGCCAUAGGUCAUGCUUCCUAGUUCUAUCUGCUGUGGGUUCUGUUUGCUUUAAGCUUUUUUAGAACAUAGUCAAGGUUUUUUGUUUUCAGGUGUACACACACAUGCCUGUUGAAUUAAAUAAAUGAGCAGCCUGCCCACGUGAGGCCAUCCUACUGAGGAUGUGUAGGACACCACACCCACCCAGUAUUUAACGCCAUGCCUUGGUUUGAAUGAUAGUCUUUUGUAAUGUGUUGAUUGACUCUAUUUUAAGGGAAUGCCUAACAGAAGUCAGGCUACUGCUAACAUAAAAUGAGCAAAGAAAAAUACAGGGCAUGUGCUUUCCUGAAAAUUUUAUUUUCUCCUGAUAAGUAGGAGUAAGAAAGCCAGCACUCAGAGAACACAGCAGGUUAUCAGGGAGGUUGGUUUGGCUGGCAUAGAAAUCAUUUUUCAGAUUAUAUGAUUUUCCCUUAACUAUUGACUGCAUAAUCAGUUGGAGAAGUUAGACUCUUCUGAGAAAGGUAAGAGUCAUGCAAGCUGUUUGAUCCAACACGAGCACUUCAUCCUCGCCUGAAGCAGCUGGGUGAGUGAACAUCACUUUUCUCUUCUGUGUGUGAUGUGGGUUCCGAGUUAGCAUUAUAAAACAAGCCUCUUCACCUGCUGCUUUGCCUCAUUACAUUUCCAUAGGCCAAAUUGGAUCAAGCACCAGCGGAAAAAUCCCCACACCCAACAGUGCAAGCGUGGGCUUGCCUUGGCCCCGUGCUCCAUAGCCAGUGGGUGCUGAGAGACCCCUUCCCGGCCCCUGGCUGCUCCUAGCACCCAACCCACAGCUCAGAAGCCCUGGGUCCGCCCGUUCUGCCCUGCGCUCUUCAUGCUGGUGGUGCUCGCCUGUGUAGUCUGAAACAACUGAAGAAAUCAACAUCGAAAAAAACUGACUGAGGCAGAAUGCAGAGCCAAGGCCAGGUUUCCAGGGGAAUGCGUCAGUAAGAAAGAAACCUACAGCUAGUAACCAAAAUGCCUCGAGCUGUUAUCAUUAAGUUAUCUUGAGUAAACUCUGUAUUGUGUAUUUCCUGAAGAGCAUGACCAAAAAUUCAUUGAGACCAUAGAUCUCUCAGUAGGUUAUGGCUAAAAGCCCAGCUAAUGUUUUAUGCCUCUUUUUGGUUCAUAGCCAAGAUGACUUGUUUGCUUGUUUUUACUCAUUCCUUACUCAUGAAAAGAGAGAGAAAAAAAAAAAAAGUGAACUUAAUGGGUUUUGCAAUUCAUUUUUCAUUUGUUAGAGAGCACUUCCUCCAAACCGUAGAGAGGUUGUUUCCCAGCAUAGAAAAAUCUGUACUGAUGUGGCUGAAAUGUACCAUUUAGUGAUACAUUUCCUCUACUGGGGACAUUCUGAAUUUCUUUAGGGCAGUGAGUCAUUCUGGUGGUGGCACCAGACUUGCCUUAUUUAUGUUGAAUGGCAAAAAAACAACAACAAAAACUUUCCCAAAUUUGAAAAUAUCACUGAAGAGAAUGAAAGCCUAAUCGUCUUCGACUAUUAUGGCUGCCCUAAUUUGAAUCACAUGGGAAAGCGCUUUGUUAAUGGCUUUGUUCUCUUACUCCUCACUGGCAACAAAACAAAACAAGACACCCCUUUCUUUGUUCUUUUUCCUUUAUGUGUUGCUUUUCCAUCUGGUUUGAGAAGAGACUGGCCCUGUGGGUUAGUAAUUAUGUCGAAAUGCUUGAGAUCUGGGGUAGUUUCCCCAGACUUUCUGAACAACCACGGACUGACCACUUUACCUCCACUACUAUUCUGUAAAAUGGGAAUAAAUUGACUUUUCCUCCUAGGGCUACUGCUAGAAAAUCUAUUUAUUGCUGCAAGGCACCCAGGUACCCAUGGAAUAUUCAAGGCCUAUGUAUGCUGUGUUUUUCAUUAC